AGCGAACGCUGGCGGCAGGCCUAACACAUGCAAGUCGAACGAAGCCUUCGGGCUUAGUGGCGGACGGGUGGGUAACACGUGGGAACGUACCUUUUGGUUCGGAACAACUCAGGGAAACUUGAGCUAAUACCGGAUGAGCCCUUAGGGGGAAAGAUUUAUCGCCGAAAGAGCGGCCCGCGUUAGAUUAGCUAGUUGGUGAGGUAAAGGCUCACCAAGGCAACGAUCUAUAGCUGGUCUGAGAGGAUGAUCAGCCACACUGGGACUGAGACACGGCCCAGACUCCUACGGGAGGCAGCAGUGGGGAAUCUUGCGCAAUGGGCGAAAGCCUGACGCAGCCAUGCCGCGUGAAUGAUGAAGGUCUUAGGAUUGUAAAAUUCUUUUACCAGGGACGAUAAUGACGAUACCUGGAGAAAAAGCCCCGGCUAACUUCGUGCCAGCAGCCGCCGCGGUAA
rnacentral:rRNA from 1 species